CAAAAACAUAGCUGUAUGUAUUAAUAUAUAGUAAUUUCUGCUCAAUGAACAAUUAAAUAGCCGCAGUACCCUGACUGUGCUAAGGUAGCGCAAUCAAUUGACUUUUAAAUGGAGUCCAGUAUGAAGGAAACUAUGAAAGGUUACUUUAUCUUUAGUAAUUAUUGAACUUACUUAGGAAGUGAAAAUUCUUCCAGAUAAUUAAAAGACGAGAAGACCCUAGAAAUUUUAAAGAAGUGAUUUUUUGUUGGGGCCACAAAGUAGUAAAUAAUCUACUUAAAUGACAAGAAAUUAAUAUUUAGUAAGAUUAAAUUACUCUAGGGAUAACAGCAUAAUUUGCGAAAGUUUGUGACCUCGAUGUUGGAUUAGGGAAUUUACAUUUAGAAGAUAACUGGUGAGCMCUGUUCGAGC
rnacentral:rRNA from 1 species